rnacentral:lncRNA from 1 species
GAAGAUCGAGUUGUUAUAGGAACUUUUGGUAAUGGUAUCGCGUAGUGAGCUAUUAUAUUAAAGAAGAAAACAAUCUCAUUCUGUGUACAUCACUAAUAAUAUAUUACUAAUUAAAGAGCUAACAAAAUAUGAAAUUAAAAAAGAAAAAAACUUUUAUCAAGGAUGACAAAAGUGGAAGGUCAAAACCAUAAUGAGCCGAAGACACACAAUAUCUACAGCCAUCAACAGCUAGUUGAGUCACCCGAACCAGGGAUCCCUUGAUCAUUUUCUCUCAGACUUGGUUUAUCACAUUGAUUGAUCACUGACAUAUCAAUAUCUAGAUCUUGCAUUCUUGGGGUGCUGAAAGAUCUCAUAAAACAACUUCUUGAAGGGCUGCACGUGAUGGGUUUCCAAGUUUAUAAACACUGUCAAGCUCCCAUCAUUGCUUGGACUUGGAUAAAUAUGCGCUACCCCUUCGAAAUAUGUAUUAACCAACCUUGAAAACAUUGGCGGCCCCCACCCGAAAUUUGCAUCAUAAAUAGGCAUGUUUGCUAAAUAUACUAUAUUAAAAUUAGGGCACUUAUACGUGUGAGCUCCUCUUCUUAGAACUGUGGGAUCAGGUUGUUGACGUAGAUAAGCAAGAGCUGAUUUCAAAUACUCGUCAUUCAUCCGCUCUAAUGCUCUAUGGAUUCGCUCUACUGUAUAAUUCAGGGGUUCUGAUAGGAUAUUACCUGAUAAGGCGAUCAAUGCAGUGGUGAAGACUACAUUUCCGAAAUACCCGGAUGGGAGUGGAGGAUUCAAUUUAGAACGUCCAUUUGUAGGAAAGUGUAACUUGCUGGCUUGAUCAUCAGACAAUUCACGUGCUUUACAUACGCAUCGCCAAAUAUGUGCUGCCAGGACCUCAAGUCUAGUGUACUCGAAUGUGGAUCCACGAUUUUCUUUAGAUUUUUCCUUGAGAAUCUUGAUUUGCUCAAGUGACAGAUUCAGGAUUGCGGUACAAAUGGAUUCGGAAUUUUGAGUAGGAGUAUUCAUUGAAGGAGGUGGGUCGUAUUCAAUGUGAUGGAAUCUAGGAGAAUUUGGAACCCCAAAAUCUAGUACGGUUCGAUCAAAGAAAGGUGGAAUGCUAAUAGGAACACCACGUGUCAUCUCAGCCCAUGAGUUGACGAAAUGGUACGUUGAAGCUCCAUCUGCUAAAAUAUGAUGAAAUCUAGUCGCAAGACAAACGCCUCCGCAUUUGAAACGAGUUACCUACUCAACACACACAGCACAGCAUUACUUAAUAAAACCAAGUCUCAUGAAUCAAUUGAUCAGGGGAUUAAAUAUUCGUCGUACCUGUGUCAUCAUGAGUGGAUAAGAAGAAUUAUCUUUCGUCUCAUCAAAAGUUGGAAGCAACGACAAAAGCUUGGAGCCUUCGGCGAAGUCACCAAAAUCAUCAAUAACACAACUUGUUUCCGCCUCCACAAACAAAACCCCCUCUCCGUUACAUAGUAUGUCGGUUCUGCCACUUUCAUCACUCGGCAACCUUCCAGCCACGGGUCGAAACGGCACAAGAAUCUUUUUCAGAGACUCCUUCAGCAAACCAGCAUCAAAGAAAUUAGGGGAAGAAUAAUUUGGCCGUCGAUAAAAGAAUACCAGGGGGACGUAAUUGGAUGGCGCAAUCAAGUCCAAGUCAGAAUUUCGUAGGCGUUGCUUGGGCGUUUCUUGGGCAGGCCGUAUCAUUGUUGACUUCUGUACAUGAAUUUCCAUUGUGCUAGCCGUGGCGACUUGGCUGAUUAGAACGGCAGCGGCAGACGGCGGUUAAUCUUCUCUGCUCUAGCAGCUUUCGUGUGUUGUGUCGGCAGGCUGCGUUUAGGAUUUUCUUUAAAAAAAAAAAGGAAAGGUUAUGAAACUUACACGCCUCUGACUCUGUUUUUGUCUCAGUUUCAAAAUAAAAAAUUCUAUUUUUGUCUUUUUUUUUUUAUAAUUAAAAAAUGGAUCCGAAUACGUGGCAAAUAUCAGAUGCUGAUGAUCUGCAUCCAACUUUUUUUUAAAUUUAAUAAUGCACAUAUCAUUAGAAAAACAGUAGGGCUAUUUGAACGCUAAAAUCUACUUUAAACAUUCGUUUAGUCCGCGCGCUUAAUUAAUAAUCUCAAAAAUGUUAGUUUUUAUUUGUAACACUCUUUUAAAUUUUAUAUUGUCCUCAUUUCUUUAAUUACCUUGUUUCUUCUUUAUACCAAAUGAAAUAUUCAUCAUCACAAACAAAAUAUCUAACUUUUUUUUCCAUUUUUAUUCACUUUUCUUUUCUGUUCAUAAUAUGGUUUGAUAUGUAUUUGUUCAGUGGCAGAUCUAAAAAAAUAAUUUACCGAAGCCUAGAUUACAUAAUAGUAAAAUUUUAAAACUAAAACUUUGAAUAUAUAAAAUAUUUAUUAAUAUAUUUAUAAUUGUUCUUGACACAUUUUCAAGAAUAGAAAAAUAUUUGUGGUGAUGACCUAUCAUUAUUUUUAAUUAUAAUGUAGGCUUUUAUAAUUUUAAAAGUUAAAGUUUAAAUUUUGUGAAUUUAUAAAUGUAUAAGGUCAAUUUUAAUAGAUUUAUUGGGGACUAAUUAGAAAUCUUAAAUAUUUUUUCUUUUAUUCUUAGAAUUUUUUUUUUGGCCAGCGAGGGCUACAACCCCCACUGGUCACAUACUGCACCCGCCCCUGUAUUUGUUCUUCUCUUAUUGCCGCAAUUUAAUUGUUUUUCAAACCCAUAAAAGCAUGCAAAUCGGAGAGCAAAUUUAAAACAAAAUCCUUUGAUUUACUUGCGUUUUCUUAUGUUGGAGUGGUGCAAUUUGUUGUUCUUCCUCCACCUCUAUUUUUAAUUCCUUUUGUUUCAGUUAUAAAGUUGAUGUGGUUUAUUGUAAAUAAAAUAUGAUGUUGGACAAAAAUUUGUUAUACUAUAUUUUAUUAAAAUUGUCCUUAAUAGUAAAUUACAUUAAGGUUAAUUUAGUAAUAUAAAUAAUUAUUAAAAUGUGAGUGUCCAAAGUAAAUUUUAGAGUGCAUAUAACCCCACCCUUCAAAAAAGGACCGGGUGCAGAUUUCGUGGAUCCAGACCUAAUGAAUAGAGAAAAAUGAAGUAAGUACCAGAAAUAAAAAAUUAAGAAAAUGAAAUAAUACUUGUGAACAGGGAUUCUUAUUUUCUUUCUUAAACAAGCAAGUAAAUAUGGAAGUGACCAAACGGUUGUGGCUCAGUUGGCGACGCAGGCUGGGUAAGUGGGAAGAGUUCUCGAGUUCGAUCCCCACUAAACAAACCAUUUGGGAGGGGUAAAGAGCCUUAACUGUGAUUACACCCCGAAUCCGGAUUAGUCGGGGCCCAAUGCAGUUGCCGGAAAUCGGGUGGUUUAAACCAAAAAAAAAAACAAAAAAUAUGGAAGUGAGAGGAUUCCGAACUCCCCGCUUCUUUUAAAAUCUUGAGCCAACUACCAUUGAUUGAGGGUUCUGAUCCCAUGUACAAACUAGCAGGAUAGAUAAAAAUAUAUAUUUAUAGGGUUGUUACAGAGUCAUUGAGAUGAUCGAGGUCACAUCAUUAUUUGCUUACACACAUCAGUUGGAGUAAGAGUAGUUAGGGAUUUGAGUAGAUUUGUUCUCAAAAGCAUAUUUUUCGUUUUAACACAUUAUGACCAACCUUUUUCUUCUGUCUUUUGCCUUCCAUUAUCUGCCUCUCAUCUAUCAUUUUAACUUUAAUUUGAAGGAAUACCAAGAAAACGAGGAUUUUCUUUUUCAAAAGAAAAUAAAGAACUGUGGAAUAUUUUCGUUUUCUAAUUAGAGAUGAUUGAACAGAAACCUGGAUAUACUUGGUAAGUGGGAACUUCAUGUAAUAAGUUCUUAGUUUAUUUAACUAAUAAUUAUCAUGCCACUCGCCCUGCGCAAUGUGGGGGUAUUUCCUUCCUUAAUUAUAUUGUAUAAAUGAGUGAAGGUAAUAUUCUCUCUUAUCCAAGAGUAAGUGGAGUAGACAUCUUUCGAAUAUUAAUGUGGAUUAAAAUCUAGGCAAAGCUCCGUAGGCAUUGAUGUAAGUCGGUAGACAUCCCUCGAAUAUUAGUGAUGAUUAAAAUCUGGGCAGAGCUCUGUAGGCAUUGAUGUAAGUCGAUUCCAGUAAUAGUCUGAUUUGUAAAUAUCAGUUAUAGUCUCAUAUAAUAUCAGUUGUAGUUUGAGCAAUAGUCUCAUAUAAUAAAAAAAAAAAACUAAUAAUGAUCAUAAUUUUAUAUUUAUAUUAAAUUUUAAAUGUAAUAAUUUCUUAGUUUAUUAACUUAUUUGCUUAUACAUGACUUGUGAUGGGCUUCGUUUAUGUCCAGCCUCGAUAGCUUUAGCUUUGUAACUCUUUAGUUCUUGCCUAUAUGUCUUUUCAUGGUUUAGCUAUGGCUAGCAUUUGCUCUUUCUUCUCUCUUGCACUAUUUUCACUUUCUUUUAGUUAAUAAAUUUUCCCACCUCACUUAGUAGAGGUUCCAUUAUAAAGAAAUGAAAAUUACUUGUUUACUUGUGUGAUUUGUUAUGGGCUCGGUAGAUUUAGCUUCGUAACUCUUUGUUUUCUCAUCUAAUGGUUUUGAAUGUUAAUAUUAUCUCUAUUCGCAUAUCUAUAUUCUCAAAUUCACAAGCACCUGCUAAUAAAAAUGAAAGUGCUCCAAGUAAUUCCAGCCACCCAAAAAAGGAAAGGAGAACCAAGGACAAAACAUUUCACAAUAUGUGCUCAAAAAUAGGAGCAACGACGGAGUCCAUUUCAACCAUGGUACCCAAAUUAGAUGGGUUGAUUAGUGUACUUUCUACUACUAAUAAGUAGUUAUCUGAUUUACAAGUUAAGUUGUAUGAUAAAAUGCGUAAGAUUGUUGGCUUAAGUGAGAAAGAAAUAUUUGAUGCGAUUGAUAUUAUGGCCACCAAACAUGAUGUGCUACGUGGGUUCUUCAACUUGCCCAAUGAGCUGGAAAAAGGGAUAUAUCCUUUCAAAAAUUGGUCGUGAUUCAUGAGAUGUAAUCUUCUAUCAUUUUGGAAAUUGAAAUUGUGUUUUGUCAAGUAAGCACACCAUUUUGGAACAUUGGAAACGUGUGUUUUUUUUUUUUUGGAAAUUUAGACUUGUGGUGCUAUGUAAAAUAUUUUGGGCUUAAAUAUUUGUAAUAGGAUGAACUACAGACUCUUAUGUUUUUGCUAUAGACGCAUGUAGUUUUUUUUUUUUUUUUGUCUGAAAUCUGAAUAAAUCUAAAUUAGUUAAAAUUGUGAAUAGAACUGAAUGUCUGAAGCUGAAUGAUAUGUUUCUUUUUUUGUCUGAAUCGCUAAAAAUAAAUAUUAAUUUUUUUAAUCUUAAAAAAUCUAAAAACUAAUAUUUUUUACAUUUAUGCCCUUAUAAAUUAUAAAUGUUAGCAAAUAAUAAACAUCUCAAAAAAUAUAAUAACAUAAAUCAUAUUCAAUUGAAUGCAACUCUUUAAUAUUCUAUGUUAUAUAUGUUAAACAAUUUUAUUAUAGUUUAUGAUGUUUUUAAAUGAAAAAUAUUCAUAGAAAAUUAUGAAGAUAAAUAAUGCUAAUGUGAAGAAAAUAAAAAAAAAAAUAAUUAUAAUCUACCACUAUAUAUUAUCACAAGUUAUAUAGAGAUGGCUAAUAUUGCUAAUUAUUAAAUUUAAUUCACGUAAGGAUUAAAAAUUAAUUAAUUAGAUAAGGAUAUUUUAGAGAAUAUCUUUUAACGAUGUUAUUCAGACUUUUUAGAUUAAGUAAAAAGCUAAAAAAAUAGCUUAAUAACUGAAAAUUUUCAUUAAGUUGAAAAAACAAAUAAACUUAAUACUUAACUGAUUAAAAUUAGUCAAUUAAUUCAUUAAGUUAAAAAAAAAGGGUCUUGCAUCCUCAAUGGUAAAGUUGUUUAUGACUUUUGCUCAAAGAAGUGUUGUCUUUUUUAUUUUUUCUUUGGUUUUUCCUCAUGUAACUGGUGAUGAUCAAUUUCUUUCUUAACUCACACCAAAUUUAUCAGGAGAUUGUCAUAUAUAUUAUCAAUUGUUGUCUUUAAUCAUCCUGUACUUUUAAGGCUCACGUGCCUAGAAUUUUUAACUCAGCCCAGCAUGCAUACGUGUCAUGUUGUGCUGCAUGCCCUACCAAAAUAUGCUCAUGUCUUGCCGUGUUGUAUCGACAUGCACCGUGUCCGUACCGUGCCGCAUGUUGCCUGGCCAUUGGCCAUCUCUAAUUAAGAACAAUAAAUUUUGCUGUAAAUUUUUUUUUUCAGAUAUUGGUGACAAAAUAAUGAAAGUGGGCCAAUUUAUUUAAUCACAUGAGUUGGACUAUUGACAUCCUCCAUGAGUUGGACUAUUGACAUCCUCCAAAUAACUCUUGAAAUUCCUUUUCUUCUUUCUGCCCCAUUAAAAUUAUUUAAAAAUUAAAAUGUUCUUAUACCCCUAUUUUAAUUCUAAAAAUAGUCCUAAUUUCUUAUUCAAUAAAUACCUAAAAUGUUUGCACCUAUCUUCUCUUUCUCUUGAUAAGUUUAUAUCUCUUUCUCUCUCUCAUUUGCUUACUUCUCUCUAUUUCUCUUUUGUCGUGAACUCUCUUCCACCAUCAACUUUUUUUUUUUUUUCUGUUUGUAAGUUUAUGGUGUUUCUAAUAGAGAAAGUUUAUGGUGUACCUCGCCCCAUUGUGUAACUAUGUGAGGGGCUAAAAUAUCAUUGCAUAAUGUCGCAUAUUUGGCUUAAUGAUACGACUCCACGUAGUUUCAUUUUUUCAUUUUGUAAAGUGGCUAGGUUCCUUCUUUGGUCCUUCGGCUUUGAUACUGUUUAUCUAUCUACUCGUUACUUCAUUUUGAUUUUCCAAAGUUGUUGGGUUUGUAAAUGUGUCACAUUUUCAUUACCGAGAAUAAUAUUUGGAUUUUUUUUAAAUAAGUGUUAAACACAAUGCCUAUUCAACGAAUCUAACAAUUGUUUUAAAAAAAAAUUAAAAUUUCAUAUGGGAGAAAUUCUAAAAUAUAUCAAAGAUGUCAUGAAAAUUUAAAAAAAAAAAUCUCUUAAUAACAUCUGAAUUAUAAUGCAAGGGACUUUAGCGUUUUUGUUUGGCUAGUUGACUAUUCCCAACAUACUCUAAAGUUCUUGAGGGUAUGGUAGCUGGAAGAUCGAGUUGUUAUAGGAACUUUUGGUAAUGGUAUCGCGUAGUGAGCUAUUAUAUUAAAGAAGAAAACAAUCUCAUUCUGUGUACAUCACUAAUAAUAUAUUACUAAUUAAAGAGCUAACAAAAUAUGAAAUUAAAAAAGAAAAAAACUUUUAUCAAGGAUGACAAAAGUGGAAGGUCAAAACCAUAAUGAGCCGAAGACACACAAUAUCUACAGCCAUCAACAGCUAGUUGAGUCACCCGAACCAGGGAUCCCUUGAUCAUUUUCUCUCAGACUUGGUUUAUCACAUUGAUUGAUCACUGACAUAUCAAUAUCUAGAUCUUGC